rnacentral:tRNA from 1 species
AGAGCAUAGCUCAGUGGUAGAGUGCAUGCCCCAUGUGCCUGAGGUCCUGGGUUCAAUCCCUAGUACCUCUG